rnacentral:lncRNA from 1 species
AUGAAUGAACCCAAGGUGAGGGCCCGCACCAUCACUGUGAGGCCGGCCGUUUCCUCCGACCUCAGCAGCCAAGAACAUAAGCCUACCCCCAGCCCUGAGAUGUCCAUGCUUAUUCCUGCCUGGCUUUGGGAGAUCAUUCAGCAGCAGGAGAACCAGGAGUCAACGGAGAAGACCAGAGAGCCUGCCAAGAACAUAAGCCUACCCCCAGCCCUGAGAUGUCCAUGCUUAUUCCUGCCUGGCUUUGGGAGAUCAUUCAGCAGCAGGAGAACCAGGAGUCAACGGAGAAGACCAGAGAGCCUGCCACUCCCCUACCCUGCCCGGAAGCGAGGACCAUCAACCCCAGCCCAGCCCCCUCCACUUGCAACACACGCGAUGCCAGCAGCCCCUGAGCCACCGAUCAUGCCGGUGAACACCACGACACGUGCAGGACCAGGCUCACCUGCGACCCCUGCAGCAGGCGUGACAGCAGCCACACCCGUGAUACCAUCGUUACCCGUGGCACCAGAGACGCCCGUGACACCAUCAGCACCUGCGACAGCUGCAAUACCAGAGGUACCAGCCUCACCUGUGACGCCUGCAGCACCUGUGACACCAGCCACACCUGUGAUCCCAGCCUCACCUAUGACGCCCUGAGCACCCAGGACACCACUGGGGCCUGCAACAUAGAUGACACCCAUGGCAACUGAGAUACCCGUGACACCAGUGUCACCAGUGACACCUGCCCCACCCGUGACACCAGAGGCACCCGUGACACCAGUGUCACCCGUAGCACCUGCGUCGCUCACAGCACUCACAAACCCAUGGUACACAGGACAACCACAUCACCUGUGACACCUGCAACACCAAUGGCACCCAUGACAUCAGCGGUAAAGUCCCUGAAGGAAGCCACUGCCGCCCGGAGGUGCCUGAUGUGGGAAGCUCCACCCUUGUUGGGCAGCCCGAGAAUAUGUCCCCAGUCACUCCCUCUGGCCUCACCCAGAAAAAGAAGAGCGUGGCUGGGAGAAUCUGGAGAUGUCUCUCUAAAUGUAUUUGCUGUGGGCUGCCCAGCAUGAGGACUAAUAAUAAAGUGAUACCUGACAAAGAAAAUGGAUGACCU